GCCUCAUACAUGCAAGUCGAACGAGUUCCCGUUGAUUGACGUGCUUGCACUGAUUUCAACAUUGGAACGAGUGGCGAACUGGUGAGUAACACGUGGAAAACCUGCCCAGAAGCAGGGGAUAACACUUGGAAACAGGUGCUAAUACCGUAUAACAACAAAAACCGCAUGGUUUUUGUUUGAAAGGUGGCUUCGGCUAUCACUUCUGGAUGGUUCCGCGGCGCAUUAGCUUGUUGGUGGGGUAACGGCUCACCAAGGCGAUGAUGCGUAGCCGACCUGAGAGGGUAAUCGGCCACAUUGGGACUGAGACACGGCCCAGACUCCUACGGGAGGCAGCAGUAGGGAAUCUUCCACAAUGGACGCAAGUCUGAUGGAGCAAUGCCGCGUGAGUGAAGAAGGGUUUCGGCUCGUAAAACUCUGUUGUUGAAGAAGAACGGGUGUCAGAGUAACUGUUGACAUCGUGACGGUAUUCAACCAGAAAGCCACGGCUAACUACGUGCCAGCAGCCGCGGUAAUACGUAGGUGGCAAGCGUUGUCCGGAUUUAUUGGGCGUAAAGCGAGCGCAGGCGGUUUCUUAAGUCUGAUGUGAAAGCCUUCGGCUUAACCGAAGAAGUGCAUCGGAAACUGGGGAACUUGAGUGCAGAAGAGGACAGUGGAACUCCAUGUGUAGCGGUGGAAUGCGUAGAUAUAUGGAAGAACACCACUGGCGAAGGCGGCUGUCUAGUCUGCAACUGACGCUGAGGCUCGAAAGCAUGUGUAGCGAACACGAUUAAAUACCCUGGUAGUCCAUGCCGUAACGAUGAGUGCUACGUGUUGGAGGGUUUUCUCCCUUCCAGUGCCGCAGCUAAUGCAUUAAGAACUCCGCCUGGUGGAGUAACUACCACCAGGAUGAAAACUCAAAGGAAUUGAUUGGCGCGCGCACCAGCGAGAGGAGCAUGCGCCUUUAUUCUAUACCCGCGCCGAAGAACCAUAACCUUGUCCUGGGCUUUUCUGG
rnacentral:rRNA from 2 species